rnacentral:lncRNA from 1 species
GUAGCUAUGGCUAGCAGCACACACACAUGCACGGACACGCAGCAACAACAGCUGGGAGCGAAUUAGGCCGGCCAUGAGUGUAAAGCAGUAAAUGCUGAACAUCGUAAAGUCGUGUGUGGAUAUUACAACGACACUGUCGCCAUUAUGGAGGGUCGAAAGAGAGGCGACAACAUUGACAGAGGCUGGGCAUGGGUCGUCCUCGUUGCCUCCUUCAGUGCUAACUUUGUCACAUUCGGUAUCUGCAUGUCCUUUGCGGUUUUCUACGUUGAAUUCCUCGACUAUUUCAAACAGUCGAAAGGAGUGACUGCCUGGAUUGGGUCCAUACACCUGGGAAGUAAAUUCCUGAUCGCUCCGUUGCUAGUGUACUAGCGAGGCAGUAUGGCAUUAGACCGGUGAUCAUAGGUGAGGGUUGGUCGCUGCCACGGGAUGCAUCCUUAGUUAACUUCGCUACCAGUGUCUACGUUCUCUAUUCACCUACGGUCUUGUGACAGGCAGCGGCCUGGGCCU